rnacentral:lncRNA from 1 species
AUUGUUCUACUGCGAUAAUGAAGCAAUAUAAGGGCUUGGGUGGAAAAGUGGCUGGACCCGAGCCACUGAUCUCAUUUCAGUUAACUGAAAUAGAGAUUCUACCAAAAACACAUAGUAACGAAAUAAUUAAAUAGUCCUUAUUAUUUAUUUCAGCUAUGGGACCUACGAGAAUACUACGAAGUGUUUGCAAUGUAGUUCAUUGAAAACUCCCAUGCGCUGUUCUCGAACUGCGCAGAUGUUGGCUAUUGGCAGCGCUACAGUUGUAGGGUCACCGGCUCCUCCGCGGGCUGUACUGGACCACUUGGUACCGGCGAAGCCCAAGAUAGUAUAAGAUGAAAUAUGAAAUUAUAUGAUUCAAUGUGAAAACCUGGUGAUGGCGCUGCUGUUGCUUAAAGGCCUGCCAACGUGACAAAAUGUACACACACGUAUGGGCAAUGUUCUACACCUCUUAAUAAUUGUUGUAAAGAGUAACGAAUUCAGGAACGCAAAUCCUUAUCUUCGUGAAGGAACGAGUUCGUUGGCAGGGUUCGUUGACCGUUCCAGUUGGUUGGGUUCGGCUUAAAAAAGUCGAAAUUCAAACAGUCGAUAAAACCGGAAUCGAUCUCCUGCAUCCGGUGUUUCGCUGGGAAUAUGCAUUAAGCCAAAUACAUGAAGCAGCGGGCUUGGUCUAAUAAUGUUUCAUAAACACGCAACAAGUAGACAUAUCAAUAA